rnacentral:rRNA from 1 species
UACGGAGGAUCCAAGCGUUAUCCGGAUUUACUGGGCGUAAAGGGCGCGUAGGCGGACAGUUUAGUCAGAGGUGAAAGCCCAGGGCUCAACCUUGGAACUGCCUUUGAUACUGGCUGUCUUGAGUUCGGGAGAGGUGAGUGGAAUGCCGAGUGUAGAGGUGAAAUUCGUAGAUAUUCGGCGGAACACCAGUGGCGAAGGCGACUCACUGGCCCGAUACUGACGCUGAGGCGCGAAAGCGUGGGGAGCAAACAGG